GUAAAUAUAUAAUAAUGUAUAAUUAUUAAUCAUUUUAAAAAUUUAAAUAUGUUUGUAUGUAUAUAUAUAUAUAUAUAUAUUAUAUUAUUAUAUUUUUUUCCAAUCGGAUUUUUUUUUACCUAUUUUCUUAUUCUUAUCAUUUCGUAUAACUAAUAAAAAUAUAACGGAAAUUAACUUGAGUCAGGUAGGUAGGUACCUAUAUAUAUCUGAUGUUCACCGCUGCUGUAUGUCUACAAUAGAUUACAAUUACAAGCGAUAAUCAAUAUUAUUUUUUAAAUGAUUUUUGACUAUUAUACAUAUAGUAUAAAAACUGAAUCCGGACCUUUUGCCCAACUUUUUUUAAAACGGACUUUUGGAUUACCACUUAUUUUAUGUCCGUGCACGUAUAAAUAUAGUUUAGUAGAAUAAUUUAUA